UCCUGUUGUGUGGCCCAGACAGGGCACUGUCUGUGGCCCCAGGGGUUGAGGACCCCUGGCUUUAACAACAGAAAGGUACCAUCUUACAGUUCUGGAGGCCAAAGUCUGAUAUCCAGACCCCAGUUACUGGAUUGGGAUCCACCCUCACUCAAUAUGGCCUCAGCUUAAUGAAAGACAUCUGCAGAGACCCUAUUUCUACUAAAAGCCACAUUCUGAGACUUCUCGUGGGCGUGAGUUUUUGAGAGACACUGUUCUGCUCCAUGCAGGGAGGGAAUUGGGAUCUGAAGACGUUGCAUUCGAGGUCUCGGGGCUCCUGAUGAGCAGCCUCGGCCUGACCUGGGGCAGGUGUGAUGUCUGCGGCUCACCAUCUCCACCCUGCCUGCUGUGGAAUCUCCACAACGACAGGUGCUUUGGAGGCCAGAGUGCAUGCGUACGGGCCCUGCACACGCUGAAUGUCACUGGGAACAAGGACACACCCCGCUUCCAGGAGAAGAUAGAACAUGUCGACCCCUUUUAGCCAUCCCCAGUGCAGGACAUGCUAUUGACUUCCAUGAGACAAACACCUACUUGGAAAUCAGGUUUUUUCUGUACCUUUUGAAGGAGCAGGAAUUUCCCAGCAUUUCCUGGACAAAGACGGAGUCCAUCGUGGGACCCACACUUUUGUAAACCACGAUAAAGAUGAACUACCAGAAAAAUGAUGAAGCACUUAGACAACAUGGCAAAGUGAAGUGGCUGUCAGCGUUUCUACCCGCUCGCUCUCAAUUUCCACACUCAACGAGGCCCAGAACAGUCAGUUCCCGGACUGUCCCUGGAGCACAGGCCAGGCACCCUGGAUGAUUAACUGAGGGGUUCCAUGAGUAUUUCCUGAGCACUGUAUGCUGAGCGCUGUUGUAGCCCAUGGAACUAAACCUAGUACCCAAUAGUUACUUUUUCUAAGCCACUCUCUCCUUCCACCCACCACCUUCAAGUAGGCUGCAGUGUCUGUUGUCCCCCUCUUUGUGUCCAUGUGCCCUCAUUUAGCUCCCACUUAUAAGUGAAAAUGUGCAGCGUUUGCUUUUCUGUUCCUGAGUUAGUUUGCUAAGGAUAAUGGCCUCCAGCUCCACCCAUGUUUCUGCAAGGAACAUGAUCUCAUUCUUUUUUAUGGCUGCAUAGUAUUCCAUAGUGUAUAUGUAACACAUGUUCUUUAUCCAGUCUACCACUGAUGAGCACUGUGGUUGAUUCCAUGUCUUUGCUAUUGUGAAUAGUGCUGCAAUGGACAUAUGCGUGUAUGUGUCUUUACGGUAGAACAAUGUAUAUUCCUUUGGAUAUAUACCCAGUAACGGGAUUGCUAGGUUGAAUGGUAGUUCUGUUUUUAGCUCUUCGAGGAAUUGCCAUGCGGCUUUCCAUAAUGACUGAACUCAUUUACAUUCCCACCAACAGGGUAUAAGUGUUCCCCUUUCUCCACAACCUCACCAGCACCUGUUGUUUUUUGACUUUUCAAUAACAGCCAUUCUGACUGGUGUGAGAUGGUACCUCGUUGUGGUUUUGAUUUGCGUUUCUCUCUAAUGAUCAGUGAUGUUGAGCUUUUUUUCAUAUGCUUGUUGGCCACACGUACGUCUUCUUUUGAAAAGUAUCUGGAACUUUGCUUUUAAUGAGGGAUACAGACAAUAAAUUAACAUAAUAAA
ensembl:lncRNA SCAT1 S-phase cancer associated transcript 1